rnacentral:rRNA from 1 species
UACGGUAGGCAGCGAGCGUUGUUCGGAGUUACUGGGCGUAAAGAGUGCGUAGGCGGUUUUCUAAGUUUGGUGUGAAAUCUCCCGGCUUAACUGGGAGGGUGCGCCGAAAACUGGAAGGCUUGAGUAUGGGAGAGGUGAAGCGGAAUUCCUGGUGUAGCGGUGAAAUGCGUAGAUAUCAGGAGGAACACCUGCGGUGUAGACGGCUUACUGGACCAUAACUGACGCUGAGGCACGAAAGCGUGGGUAGCAAACAGG